GAUGAACGCUAGCGGCAGGCCUAACACAUGCAAGUCGAGGGGCAGCACAGAAACAGCAAUGUUUUGGUGGCGACCGGCGGACGGGUGCGUCACGCGUAUGCAACCUACCUUGAACAGGGGGAUAACGGAGAGAAAUUUCCACUAAUACCCCAUAACAUCGAUCAAGGCAUCUUGAUUGGUUGAACACUCCGGUGGUUUAAGAUGGUAAUGCGUUGUAUUAGGUAGUUGGUGAGGUAAUGGCUCACCAAGCCUACGAUACAUAGGGGGACUGAGAGGUUAGCCCCCCACACUGGUACUGAGACACGGACCAGACUCCUACGGGAGGCAGCAGUGAGGAAUAUUGGUCAAUGGGGGCAACCCUGAACCAGCCAUGCCGCGUGCAGGAAGACGGCUCUAUGAGUUGUAAACUGCUUUUAAACAGGGAUAAAGCACAGUAUGUAUACUGUGUUGAAGGUACUGUAAGAAUAAGGAUCGGCUAACUCCGUGCCAGCCGCCGCGGUAA
rnacentral:rRNA from 1 species